GACGAACGCUGGCGGCGUGCUUAACACAUGCAAGUCGAACGGAAAGGCCCUGCUUUUGUGGGGUGCUCGAGUGGCGACCGGGUGAGUAACACGUGAGUAACCUGCCCUUGACUUUGGGAUAACUUCAGGAAACUGGGGCUAAUACCGGAUAGGAGCUCCUGCUGCAUGGUGGGGGUUGGAAAGUUUCGGCGGUUGGGGAUGGACUCGCGGCUUAUCAGCUUGUUGGUGGGGUAGUGGCUUACCAAGGCUUUGACGGGUAGCCGGCCUGCGAGGGUGACCGGCCACAUUGGGACUGAGAUACGGCCCAGACUCCUACGGGAGGCAGCAGUGGGGAAUAUUGCACAAUGGGCGGAAGCCUGAUGCAGCAAUGCCGCGUGCGGGAUGACGGCCUUCGGGUUGUAAACCGCUUUCGCCUGUGACGAAGCGUGAGUGACGGUAAUGGGUAAAGAAGCACCGGCUAACUACGUG
rnacentral:rRNA from 1 species